rnacentral:rRNA from 1 species
AGAGUUUGAUCAUGGCUCAGAUUGAACGCUGGCGGCAGGCUUAACACAUGCAAGUCGAGCGGGGGAAGGUAGCUUGCUACUGGACCUAGCGGCGGACGGGUGAGUAAUGCUUAGGAAUCUGCCUAUUAGUGGGGGACAACAUCUCGAAAGGGAUGCUAAUACCGCAUACGUCCUACGGGAGAAAGCAGGGGAUCUUCGGACCUUGCGCUAAUAGAUGAGCCUAAGUCGGAUUAGCUAGUUGGUGGGGUAAAGGCCUACCAAGGCGACGAUCUGUAGCGGGUCUGAGAGGAUGAUCCGCCACACUGGGACUGAGACACGGCCCAGACUCCUACGGGAGGCAGCAGUGGGGAAUAUUGGACAAUGGGGGGAACCCUGAUCCAGCCAUGCCGCGUGUGUGAAGAAGGCCUUAUGGUUGUAAAGCACUUUAAGCGAGGAGGAGGCUACUUUAGUUAAUACCUAGAGAUAGUGGACGUUACUCGCAGAAUAAGCACCGGCUAACUCUGUGCCAGCAGCCGCGGUAAUACAGAGGGUGCGAGCGUUAAUCGGAUUUACUGGGCGUAAAGCGUGCGUAGGCGGCUUAUUAAGUCGGAUGUGAAAUCCCCGAGCUUAACUUGGGAAUUGCAUUCGAUACUGGUGAGCUAGAGUAUGGGAGAGGAUGGUAGAAUUCCAGGUGUAGCGGUGAAAUGCGUAGAGAUCUGGAGGAAUACCGAUGGCGAAGGCAGCCAUCUGGCCUAAUACUGACGCUGAGGUACGAAAGCAUGGGGAGCAAACAGGAUUAGAUACCCUGGUAGUCCAUGCCGUAAACGAUGUCUACUAGCCGUUGGGGCCUUUGAGGCUUUAGUGGCGCAGCUAACGCGAUAAGUAGACCGCCUGGGGAGUACGGUCGCAAGACUAAAACUCAAAUGAAUUGACGGGGGCCCGCACAAGCGGUGGAGCAUGUGGUUUAAUUCGAUGCAACGCGAAGAACCUUACCUGGCCUUGACAUACUAGAAACUUUCCAGAGAUGGAUUGGUGCCUUCGGGAAUCUAGAUACAGGUGCUGCAUGGCUGUCGUCAGCUCGUGUCGUGAGAUGUUGGGUUAAGUCCCGCAACGAGCGCAACCCUUUUCCUUACUUGCCAGCAUUUCGGAUGGGAACUUUAAGGAUACUGCCAGUGACAAACUGGAG